rnacentral:tRNA from 1 species
GGAGAUUUAGCUCAGCGGUAGAGUGCUUGCCUAGCAAGUGCGAGGCCCUGGGUUCGGUCCCCAGCUCCG